rnacentral:rRNA from 1 species
UACGGGGGGGGGCAAGCGUUGUUCGGAAUUACUGGGCGUAAAGGGCUCGUAGGCGGCCAACUAAGUCAGACGUGAAAUCCCUCGGCUUAACCGGGGAACUGCGUCUGAUACUGGAUGGCUUGAGGUUGGGAGAGGGAUGCGGAAUUCCAGGUGUAGCGGUGAAAUGCGUAGAUAUCUGGAGGAACACCGGUGGCGAAGGCGGCGUUCUGGACUGCAACUGACACUGAAGAACGAAAGCCAGGGGAGCAAACGGG